UACGUAGGGUGCAAGCGUUGUCCGGAAUUAUUGGGCGUAAAGAGCUCGUAGGCGGCCUGUCGCGUCGGCUGUGAAAACCCAGGGCUCAACCCUGGGCCUGCAGUCGAUACGGGGCAGGCUAGAGUCCGGCAGGGGGAGACUGGAAUUCCUGGUGUAGCGGUGAAAAUGCGCAGAUAUCAGGAGGAACACCGGUGGCGAAGGCGG
rnacentral:rRNA from 1 species